rnacentral:tRNA from 1 species
AGGAGUGUCAUGGAAUGGUAUACAUAUUUGGUUUAGGGUCAAAGUUUUAUAGGUUCGAAUCCUAUCACUCUUA